UACGAAGGGGGCUAGCGUUGUUCGGAUUUACUGGGCGUAAAGCGCACGUAGGCGGAUCGUUAAGUCGGGGGUGAAAUCCUGGAGCUCAACUCCAGAACUGCCUUCGAUACUGGCGAUCUUGAGUCCGGAAGAGGUGAGUGGAACUCCUAGUGUAGAGGUGGAAUUCGUAGAUAUUAGGAAGAACACCAGUGGCGAAGGCGACA
rnacentral:rRNA from 1 species